GCAUAGAGAGGGAGGAAUCUGACUUUCUAGGUUAGACAUGUUUGUUAUUAAAUCUGGUAUUUUGUCCUAAUAAACCACUACAGCAUGCUGAGCAUGCUGUAGUUCUGCAACAAAGCCCUUCGAUGCUAGUCUCUGUUUGCAGCAUCUGUGAUAGACUCAUAUGUCUACUGUUUAAAGGGUUUUGAAAAAGCUUUGUUAUGAGCCCUUCGAUGGUGGGUUUAUCCCCUAGCCCAC
rnacentral:sRNA from 2 species